rnacentral:rRNA from 1 species
ACGCACGCUGGCGGCGUGCUUCACCCAUGCAAGUCGAACGGAAAGGCCCUGCUUGCAGGGUACUCGAGUGGCGAACGGGUGAGUAUCACGUGGGUGAUCUGCCCUGCACUUCGGGAUAAGCCUGGGAAACUGGGUCUAAUACCGGAUAGGAGCCAUUUUUAGUGUGAUGGUUGGAAAGUUUUUUCGGUGUAGGAUGAGCUCGCGGCCUAUCAGCUUGUUGGUGGGGUAAUGGCCUACCAAGGCGGCGACGGGUAGCCGGCCUGAGAGGGUGGACGGCCACAUUGGGACUGAGAUACGGCCCAGACUCCUACGGGAGGCAGCAGUGGGGAAUAUUGCACAAUGGGCGCAAGCCUGAUGCAGCGACGCCGCGUGGGGGAGGACGGCCUUCGGGUUGUAAACUCCUUUCGCUAGGGACGAAGCUUUUUGUGACGGUACCUAGAUAAGAAGCACCGGCUAACUACGUG